rnacentral:rRNA from 1 species
CAUAUUUGUGCCAUUUGGGUGUACUUACCUUGGCAGUAGGUUAACAUCAAUUUUGAUCGUCAUAAAAUGAUGGGAGGAAUGUAGCUUCGACCUCGGUUGAAGUGUUAUAGCCUCUGGUAGAUGUGAUGAUCGGGAUUGAGGAUUGCAACGAAUACCUUUUAGGCUGCCCGCCUGAUCUCUGAU